rnacentral:rRNA from 1 species
GUGCCAGCCGCCGCGGUAAGACAGAGGGUGCAAACGUUGUUCGGAAUCACUGGGCAUAAAGCGCACGUAGGCGGUCCGCUAAGUCAGGUGUGAAAGCCCCCGGCUCAACCGGGGAAUGGCAUCUGAUACUGGCGGGCUCGAGGAUGGCAGGGGUGAGCGGAACUCCAGGUGGAGCGGUGAAAUGCGUAGAUAUCUGGAGGAACACCGGUGGCGAAAGCGGCUCACUGGACCAUAUCUGACGCUAAUGUGCGAAAGCUAGGGUAGCAAACGGGAUUAGAUACCCUCGUAGUCC